rnacentral:rRNA from 1 species
GACGAACGCUGGCGGCGUGCUUAACACAUGCAAGUCGAACGAUGAAGCCGGAGCUUGCUCUGGUGAAUUAGUGGCGAACGGGUGAGUAACACGUGAGUAACCUGCCCUUGACUCUGGGAUAACUGCGGGCAACUGUAGCUAAUACCGGAUACGACCCUCGGAGGCAUCUCCGGGGGGUGGAAAGAAUUUCGGUCAAGGAUGGACUCGCGGCCUAUCAGCUAGUUGGUGAGGUAAAGGCUCACCAAGGCGACGACGGGUAGCCGGCCUGAGAGGGUGACCGGCCACACUGGGACUGAGACACGGCCCAGACUCCUACGGGAGGCAGCAGUGGGGAAUAUUGCACAAUGGGCGCAAGCCUGAUGCAGCAACGCCGCGUGAGGGAUGACGGCCUUCGGGUUGUAAACCUCUUUUAGCAGGGAAGAAGCGAAAGUGACGGUACCUGCAGAAAAAGCACCGGCUAACUACGUGCCAGCCGCCGCAGUAA